CUUAACGAGGACAAUUGGAGGGCAAGUCUGGUGCCAGCAGCCGCGGUAAUUCCAGCUCCAAUAGCGUAUAUUAAAGUUGUUGCAGUUAAAAAGCUCGUAGUUGGAUUUUGGGAUAAGCUUGUUGGGCCGCCGCGAGGUGUUUGCCCCGACGAGGGUAUCCUUCCUCUCGAAAUUGGCGUGUGCGCUUAAUUGAGUGUGCGUCGAGUUUGGGACUUUUACUGUGAAAAAAUUAGAGUGUUCAAAGCAGGCUAUCGCUUGAAUAUUUCAGCAUGGAAUAAUGGAAUAGGACGUUGGUUCUAUUUUGUUGGUUUCUAGGACCGAAGUAAUGAUUAAUAGGGAUAGUUGGGGGCAUUAGUAUUUAAUUGUCAGAGGUGAAAUUCUUGGAUUUAUGAAAGACUAACUUCUGCGAAAGCAUUUGCCAAGGAUGUUUUCAUUAAUCAAGAACGAAAGUUAGGGGAUCGAAGAUGAUCAGAUACCGUCGUACUCCUAACCAUAAACUAUGCCGACUAGGGAUUGGUGGAUGUUAAUUCUAUGACUCCAUA
rnacentral:rRNA from 1 species